GAUAAACGCUGGCGGCGUGCAUGAGACAUGCAAGUCGAACGGGCGACUCGGGCUUGCUCGAGUCGCUAGUGGCGGACGGCUGAGUAACGCGUAGGUGACCUGCCCCGAAGUGGGGAAUAACUGCCCGAAAGGGUGGCUAAUACCGCAUGUGGUGAUGCGUUCAUUCGCAUCAGUAAAGCCGCAAGGCGCUUCGGGAGGGGCCUGCGUCCGAUUAGCUCGUUGGUGGGGUAACGGCUCACCAAGGCGACGA
rnacentral:rRNA from 1 species